GACGAACGCUGGCGGCGUGCUUAACACAUGCAAGUCGAACGGAAAGGCCCUGCUUGCAGGGUACUCGAGUGGCGAACGGGUGAGUAACACGUGGGUGAUCUGCCCUGCACUUCGGGAUAAGCUUGGGAAACUGGGUCUAAUACCGGAUAGGAGCCAUCUUUAGUGUGGUGGUUGGAAAGUUUUUUCGGUGUAGGAUGAGCUCGCGGCCUAUCAGCUUGUUGGUGGGGUAAUGGCCUACCAAGGCGGCGACGGGUAGCCGGCCUGAGAGGGUGUACGGCCACAUUGGGACUGAGAUACGGCCCAGACUCCUACGGGAGGCAGCAGUGGGGAAUAUUGCACAAUGGGCGCAAGCCUGAUGCAGCGACGCCGCGUAGGGGAUGAAGGCCUUCGGGUUGUAAACUCCUUUCGCUAGGGACGAAGCUUUUUUGUGACGGUACCUAGAGAAGAAGCACCGGCUAACUACGUG
rnacentral:rRNA from 1 species